AGCGGGUCUCUCCGCAUGAUGAUUUCAGGCAACGGGUCAGGGGCGGAAGCCAGCAGCCCACUUGGGAAAGUCAGUGCCGGAGGACGGGCUCGCUACC
rnacentral:SRP_RNA from 1 species